GACGAACGCUGGCGGCGUGCCUAAUACAUGCAAGUAGAACGCUUAAGAGAGGAGCUUGCUCUUCUUGGAUGAGUUGCGAACGGGUGAGUAACGCGUAGUUAACCGGCCUUGUAGCGGGGGAUAACUAUUGGAAACGAUAGCUAAUACCGCAUAACAAUGGAUGACCCAUGUCAUUUAUUUGAAAGGGGCAAAUGCUCCACUACAAGAUGGACCUGCGUUGUAUUAGCUAGUAGGUGAGGUAACGGCUCACCUAGGCGACGAUACAUAGCCGACCUGAGAGGGUGAUCGGCCACACUGGGACUGGGACACGGCCCAGACUCCUACGGGAGGCAGCAGUAGGGAAUCUUCGGCAAUGGGGGCAACCCUGACCGAGCAACGCCGCGUGAGUGAAGAAGGUUUUCGGAUCGUAAAGCUCUGUUGUAAGUCAAGAACGAGUGUGAGAGUGGAAAGUUCACACUGUGACGGUAGCUGACCAGAAAGGGACGGCUAACUACGUG
rnacentral:rRNA from 1 species